rnacentral:tRNA from 1 species
AAAAAAGCCGGAAUAGCUCAGUCG